AGAAUCAACGCUGGCGGCGUGCCUAACACAUGCAAGUCGAGCGCCCGUAGCAAUACGGGAGCGGCAGACGGGAUAGUAACACGUGGGAACGCGCCCUUCGGUUCGGAAUAACUCAGGGAAACUUGAGCUAAUACCGGAUACGCCCUUACGGGGAAAGAUUUAUUGCCGAAGGAACGGCCCGCGUCCGAUUAGCUAGUUGGUGAGGUAAUGGCUCACCAAGGCGACGAUCGGUAGCUGGUCUGAGAGGACGACCAGCCACACUGGGACUGAGACACGGCCCAGACUCCUACGGGAGGCAGCAGUGGGGAAUUUUGGACAAUGGGCGCAAGCCUGAUCCAGCCAUGCCGCGUGCGGGAAGAAGGCCUUCGGGUUGUAAACCGCUUUUGUCAGGAAGAACGCUCCGGAUUAAUACCUCGGAGUAAUGACGGUACCUGAAGAAUAAGCACCGGCUAACUACGUGCCAGCAGCCGC
rnacentral:rRNA from 1 species